rnacentral:lncRNA from 1 species
CCCCUACCCUUUAUCACAUACCCUUUAUCACACCCCUACCCUUUAUCACACCCCUACUUUUUUUUUUUUUUUUUUUUUUUUUUACAUAAAGUCAGUUUUUGUUUUUUUUUGCUUAAGAAAAAUUUUCCUCAAAAUAGUAAAUUUUUUGAAUGACGUCAUUGUUUGGUAUGUGACGUCACGAACGUCGAGUUUUCAUAUUGUAUGUGACGUCACGAACGUCAAGUUUUCAUAUUUUUUGGCACACUAAAUGCAACUAUGAAAAUACAAAAACAC